rnacentral:tRNA from 1 species
GAAGGUAUAGCUCAGUGGUAGAAUGUAUGCUUAGCAUGCACGAGGUCCUGGGUUCAACCCCCAGUACCUCCA